GCCCUCUGGGCUCCGACCCACACACAGACGUGCACGAGCACUGCUGUGUCGCUGCUUCAGAGCAGAGCAGAGAAAGAACCGCAAUUUUACUUCAUGUCCUCAUUUUCCGGCUUGCUGACAAAGUGAGUCAGUGCCAGGAUAUCCAGAUGACCCACUGUGGCAGCAGAUUCUUUGAGAGGCCCAUUCUGAGGAUUAGGAGGCAGUGGGCUCUGAACCCGUGACCUGUGCUGUUUAUUUACCUUUUCCUGGUUUAGGUCACUGUGACUUACUGCUGUACUGUUGUGUUAACAUCCCACUUCCAUUUGGAUCCGUUCAUUUCAUUGUGCUACAUAUGUAUGUCAGGGUUUCCGCGGGGUCUUAAAAAGUCUUACAUUUUAAAAUAAAAAUGUAAGGCCUUAAAAAGUCUUAAAUUUGCUUAAGUAUUGUGUCUAGGUCUUACAUUUCCUACGUCCAUGUAACGUUACCUCUAUUGCUCAUUAAAAUGCUCCAGCAGCGCACAUUUUUUUUUAUACUC